CCCUUCUGAUGCUAAAAUUCUGUGAUUCACCCUCUCUUACUCCUAGGCCUUUAUGAAUAGCUUCUCUCGGGCUGUGGCCUUGGAAUACCAGUCCUCUGGAGUUAUCAUACAGACUCUUACUCCUCUGGCUGUUUCCAGCAACAUGACCAGAUGCAACCCACAAAAUUCUUGGUGAAGUCUUCAGAUGACUUUGCCAGAGAAGCCUUGGAUACUGUAGGUGUUCUAACUUCACCUGGGGGUGUUUCCUACACUCUGUCCACGGCUUGUUGCUGUGGCCCCUGAACUCCAACUUUAAAUUCAUCAGCCCGACUCUGAUGUUCUUCUACUCUCUGCUCAGUGCAUCCAGAAGUUCCUGAAGAAGUUGUGGGAAGGAGGUUCCCUUUGAGGAGAAACCCCAGCCCUGAGAAGCUGUAGCUGUAACUUGUUAUAAUAAAUUGUUUUCUCUUUAGCCA